CUUUACUGUAGCUUUGUAUUGGACUUUGAACAGAUCUGUGUAGGAUAGGUGGGAGGCUUUGAAGUGAGGACGCUAGUUCUCAUGGAGCCAACGUUGAAAUACCACCCUGGUGUGUUUGAGGUUCUAACCUAGGUCCAUUAUCUGGAUCGGGGACAGUGCAUGGUAGGCAGUUUGACUGGGGCGGUCUCCUCCCAAAGCGUAACGGAGGAGUUCGAAGGUACGCUAGUUACGGUCGGACAUCGUGACGAUAGUGCAAUGGCAUAAGCGUGCUUAACUGCGAGACUGACAAGUCGAGCAGAUGCGAAAGCAGGACAUAGUGAUCCGGUGGUUCUGUAUGGAAGGGCCAUCGCUCAACGGAUAAAAGGUA
rnacentral:rRNA from 1 species